rnacentral:lncRNA from 1 species
AGGGUCAAUAUGAAGCUAUCAACUCAAUGUCAUCAACUACUAAAUUGGAAAGAGGGAUGCAAAAUUGCCUUUCCCCAGCUGGUCUGAGCCAGUGGAAGCACACCACUGACAGGUGCAGGGCACAGAGACCAGAGGUACAAAAUCAUGCCAUUGACCACUGCACAGGAAACACUCAGGCGUGGAGUAGAGAAGAUGGAGGUGAAAGGGAUCCCAGCACCACUCAGAAGGAAACCACCUGGGAACUAGUGCAGUAAUACUGCCUUGUUCGCAUCACUAUCAUCAAUGUCCAGCCAGGCAGUCUUCAGUUACUCCAUCACGUAAGCUCAUCACGUUUGAAAACGGAAUUGUAAAUGAACAGAAGUACCACAGCCCUGCUGUUCUGUACAGCGCUUCACUGGUUCUGCAGUUUACACGGAAGAGCAACUUUUUUUGGUAUGAGGGAUUGAGCUAUAUCUCCAACCCUUUUUUUAUUUUCAAGCAAGGUCUUACUAAGUCACUAAGUUGCCCAGGCUGGGCUAGAACUUGCAAUCCUUCUGCCUCAGCAUCUCAGAAAAGAGCAAAGUUGAUGGAUCAACAAUGUAUAUUUCAAUAUUCGACUAGAAAGGAUUCACUGACACAGUAACAACAGAACUAUAGAACUUUGCAUUAAAGCUCUGACUUACGAAAUCGGAGUACUCGAUUGCUCAAGCUCAUUAACUUAUUUAUUUGUUGAGAAUAAAUUAUUUUAUUCAAUUAAUUAAUUCAUUCAUUCAUGGUGCUGG